UACAGAGACGUCGAGCGUUGUUCGGAUUCAUUGGGCGUAAAGGGUGCGUAGGCGGUGAGGUAAGUCGGAUGUGAAAUCCCAAAGCUUAACUUUGGAAGUGCAUCCGAAACUGCCUCGCUGGAGGACUGGAAGGGAGACUGGAAUUCUCGGUGUAGCGGUGAAAUGCGUAGAUAUCGAGAGGAACACCUGUGGCGAAGGCGGGUCUCUGGACAGUUCCUGACGCUGAGGCACGAAAGCCAGGGGAGCAAACGGG
rnacentral:rRNA from 1 species